rnacentral:lncRNA from 10 species
GGGCAAUGGCGGGCGCCCCUCCCCCAGCCUCGCUGCCGCCUUGCAGUUUGAUCUCAGACUGCUGUGCUAGCAAUCCGCGAGACUCCGUGGGGUAGGACCCUCCGAGCCAGGUGCGGCAUAUAAUCUCGUGGUGCGCCGUUUUUUAAGCCCGUGGGGAAAGCGCAGUGUUCUGGUGGGAGUGACCCGAUUUUCCAGGUGCCGUCCGUCACCCCUUUCUUUGACUAGGAAAGGGAACUCCCUGACCCUUGCUCUUCCCGAGUGAGGCAAUGCCUCGCCCUGCUUCGGCUCGCGCAGGGUGCGCGCACCCACUGACCUGCGCCCACUGUCUGGCACUCCCUAGUGAGAUGAACCCGGUACCUCAGAUGGAAAUGCAGAAAUCAACCAUCUUCUGUGUCGCUCACGCUGGGAGCUGUAGACCGGAGCUGUUCCUAUUUGGCCAUCUUGGCUCCUUCCUCAUCCUUAUUCAAUUCUUGAACGUUCCCAAACAGGACCUGUUCCUUUGAAGAUCAUCCGCACCGUGAAGAUGCCCAGUUCAAUGGGUGUGGCUGGGAUCACGUAUUGCAAUAACACAAACAAAAGGAGUUUAAACAUGUAAUAUUCCUAUCACCUGAAUUAUUAAGAUAAAAUGUCAUUUAACUGGAAGGAUUCCUGGAUAUUGUAAGAGAACACGCAGGUCUAGUUCAUUCGAUUGUUCACACACAGUCCCGUGCACCGUGUGUCAGCAUAGGCGAAUGGGAAGUUUGCGCGUUGAGUGGGGUGUGAAUGGAGAAUUUGCCCAAGAGACUUGACCAGCCGUGUUCCCUGCUGUCAUCUCAGUAUCUAUAACAGCAUCGGCACAUGGCAAGCAUUCCAUUGAAUGAAUGGAUGACUCCACAGAAAGAUAUCAAAAGCACAAAGAGUCUUUAGUGGCCAAUGGGG